rnacentral:rRNA from 1 species
UACGUAGGGUGCGAGCGUUGUCCGGAAUUACUGGGCGUAAAAGAGCUCGUAGGUGGUUUUGUCGCGUUGUCCGUGAAAAACUCACAACUCAAUUGUGGGCGUGCGGGCGAUACGGGCAGACUGGAGUACUGCAGGGGGAGACUGGAAUUCCUGGUGUAGCGGUGAAAUGCGCAGAUAUCAGGAGGAACACCGGUGGCGAAGGCGGGUCUCUGGGCCGAUAUUGACGCUGGAGGAGCGAAAAGCGUGGGGGAGCGAACAGG